CAGUAGCCGCGGUAAUACGAGGGGGGCAAGCGUUGUUCGGAAUUAUUGGGCGUAAAGGGUGCGUAGGCGGUUUGGCAAGUCUUAUGUGAAAUCUUCGGGCUCAACCCGAAGUCUGCAUGAGAAACUGCCGGGCUUGAGUAUGGGAGAGGUGAGUGGAAUUUCCGGUGUAGCGGUGAAAUGCGUAGAUAUCGGAAGGAACACCUGUGGCGAAAGCGGCUCACUGGACCGACAUUGACGCUGAGGCGCGAAAGCGUGGGGAGCAAACAGGAUUAGAUACCCCCGUAGUCCCUGUCUCUUAUAC
rnacentral:rRNA from 1 species